GUUAAAAAGCUCGUAGUUGGAUUUCUGAUCAAAGUUUCCGGUCCUGCGCUGUGCGUUGUGUACUGUGUAAACUCGGAUCAUCCUUGUAGGAAACUCAGUUUGGCAUUAAGUUGUCGGUUGAUGGAACUACAUCGUUUACUGUGAAAAAAUUAGAGUGUUCAAAGCAGGCUUAGGCUGUGAAUACAUUAGCAUGGAAUAAUAAUAUAGGACUUUGGUUCUAUUUUGUUGGUUGGAGGCCAAGGUAAUGAUUAAUAGGGAUAGUUGGGGGUAUUCAUAUUUAAUUGUCAGAGGUGAAAUUCUUGGAUUUAUGAAAGAUGAACUUAUGCGAAAGCAUUUACCAAGGAUGUUUUCAUUAAUCAAGAACGAAAGUUAGGGGAUCGAAGAGGGUUAGAUACCCUCGUAGUCUUAACCAUAAACUAUGCCGACUCGGGAUUGGAGAGGUAUCAAUAUGGCCUUUUCAGCACCGUAUGAGAAAUCAAAGUCUUUGGGUUCCGGGGGGAGUAUGGUCGCAAGGCUGAAACUUAAAGGAAUUGACGGAAGGGCACCACCAGGAGUGGAGCCUGCGGCUUAAUUUGACUCACACGGGGAAACUCACCAGGUCCGGACAUAGUAAAGAUUGACAGAUUGACAGCUCUUUCU
rnacentral:rRNA from 1 species